AGCAAAUACCUGAGUUCCCCUGAAGAGAAUAAUGGAGAUCACGUUUUCUUCAAAAUGACGCCGUUCUCUAUGAUGACAGUAAUAAGAGAACAGAAAGUAACAUAAUUAAAAUAUUCCUCAUGAGAGAGAGAGAGAGAGAGAGAGAGAGAGAGAGAGAGAGAGAGAGAGAGAGAGAGAGAGAGAGAGAGAGAGAGACUAUAAAAUUACUGAAACAAAAAUAGCAACACUGACAUUUUCAUCAUAUUUGUACAUUCCAAUAACACAACACCUGUCUUUCCUUUUUCCUCAUUCGCCAAGUCUUAUAACAAUUACUUCUUACGAAAAACAUAAAUCAAACUCAACUCGUAUUUUUUUUUCCACUGCUUUUCUUCCUCGCUGAAACGGCUUACCCACAAUGCACCUGCCACCGCCCAGUGUGUAGUUGCUGUGUUCCUUGUCGCGAGUGCUUGUGCGUUUUGCGUGACUUAGUGGCCUUGUAUGAUCCCCUUGUGAAAUUAUUAACCAGGCGUGUGAGGGCAGAAGUUACCACGCCAAGAGACUGUGAUGACAGGAGUGUGGGUGGACGGCGCGUGGGAGACUUGCAAGCACGCCGUUACUGCCGCCACUUUUCUCGUGGCCGCGGCGUGGGUCAUCAGGUCACCGCCAGGGUCUGUGGGUUAUUGGUCGCCUCGAGAAUGACAAGCGAUGCGCUGCUGUCGGUGCCUGGGUGACAGUUGCAGCGCCACUGGGGAGUAUUGUACUCCCCGUCUCUGUCACGAGGUCCCUCAACGUUACUUCUGCAGGAACGUCUUCAGUGCGUCUUCAGGAUCAGCAGUGUUGUAUGAAGUCAAUAUGCAGUUGCCUGUCGUGCGCAUCACUUGCUUUAGGCGUCAAUCACCGUCUGGGUCUGGCAGGUGCUCGGCGUGACUGUUCCCGCUGAAAGGUUAGCUGGUGAGUGGGUGCCAGCGGCGCCUUAACGAGACACUUGUUACAGGACGCCUCUGUGAUGGAUGAUAAAAAAGAAUUGUAUCGUCCAGCAAAUGUUUCCCAGUGCCAGGUAUAGCGACCAAGUGCGAGGCUUUGGAACAGUCUCCUCCCCGUAACCUCGGGAUAAAGCUGAUCUUACGAGGCCGGAAGAACUUUAUCUAUUCAGCACAGAAUACGCGCCCUCGGCAAGUCAAUCUUCCGUCGCGGCUCAGGAAACUCUUGACAAACUUUUUAGAUUUUUUUUUUCCACAUUUUCCAUCUACGGCAGGUCCUCGGGCUCGCCUUCACAUUCCCUGACGCUGGCGCUCUGAUUAAGGCUCAUUUAUGGCACUUCUGACCCCCUCCCCUUCUUUCCUCAACCCGCAGAUCAUCCUUGCACCAAACCCACGCACGUAACAUAAUCCCCUAGAUUGCCCUUACGCUGUGUGCCGCAGAGAAGGAAAGGAAAGCAUCAAAGUGAUUAGCUCUCAUUAUAAAAGAAAGCCAAAUUAGCGAGGAAGUUCCUGUGAAAUCCACCUAAUUGAGUUUGAAUGCUCGGGCUAAAGGACUAAAGGUCGCGUGGGGCUAGAAAUGGUUUAGGUUUUGUGAUUUGCUUCCUCAGUUGCUACGGAGACUGCUGGUAGUGGCGGUGGAUUCUUCUCGUGAAUUAGCAAACUAGUAAAACAACAGCUUUUUUUGAAUGCGCAAACCACUAGUUAGUAAGUUCAUUAGUUACUUAGCUGGUUAAUUGGUGAAUGAGUAAGUGAAUAAGUUGGUGAGAGUCAAUGGGUUAGUUUAUUGACCACAGACGCAUUAAUCAACCUAUACACGCAAAAAAAUAAAAAUAAUAAUAAUAAUUCGCAAAGAGAUGAUAAUGGUGACAUGGCUUUUGCUCCUCACUGUGAAGAAAGGAAAAAUUCUUAGCACACCAAUACACAAUUAAUCUGCCAUUUUUUUGUUUUCUUGUUCAGGAGAGUUAGUGCGGGGCUGUUUCUCUAAAAGAUCUGAUGUUGUGUUUAGUUCGGAGUAGUGGAGAUCUUAUUGUAAUUUUUUCUUGUGUUGACCAGGAAGAUUGGCAGCUCAGGUGUGUUGCCUUGUGUCAGGUAUUAGUCUUGAUUUUAUACCUGUCUUGCAUUCGUCAGGCUUAUGAAUCGUAAGCGUAUGUCGGCAAAACACACACACACACACACACACACACACACACACACACACACACACACACACACACACACACACACACACACACACGCAGAAACAUUUACAAGUCUGCAUUUUAGAUCAAUCCGAAUAAAUGUGCUUUGGAUUUUGUGUAAUAAAAUUGAGAAUAUUGCAGCUUGCAUAAAAUAAUGUCCAAGUUAAGUCUGAAAAUCCUGCAUGUUUAGCCUUUGAU